rnacentral:rRNA from 1 species
CAUGAAAAUAGUAUACCAUGCAGUCGACGGUAACAUGAUCUAGCUUGCUGCUUCGCUGACGAGUGGCGAACGGGUGAGUAAUGUCUGGGAAACUGCCUGAUGGAGGGGGAUAACUACUGGAAACAGUAGCUAAUACCGCAUAACGUCUCAAGACCAAAGAGGGGGACCUUCGGGCCUCUUGCCAUCGGAUGUGCCCAUAUGGGAUUAGCUAGUAGGUGGGGUAACGGCUCACCUAGGCGACGAUCCCUAGCUGGUCUGAGAGGAUGACCAGCCACACUGGAACUGAGGACACGCUCCAGCAAUCCUACGCGAGAGCAGCACGUGGGAAAUAUUGCACAUAUGAGCGCAAGCACCUGAUGCAGCCCACUACCGCGUGUGUGAAGAAAGACUUCGGGUUGUUAAAAACACCCUUUAUCGGCGAAGAAGAAGGCGGUCAUCAGGUUAAUAACCUUAGCGAUUGAUCGUGAGUACCCGCAGAAGAAGCACCGGCUGAUACUACGUCGCCAGCAGCCGCGGUAAUACGGAGGGGGCAACCGUUAAUAGGAAUUACUGGGCGUAAAGCGCCCGCAGCCGGUCGGGCAACAUCGGAUGUGAAAUACCCGCGCUCAACAUGGGAACUGCAUUCAGAAACUGGCACGCUAGAGUCUUGUAGAGGGGGGUAGAAUUCCAGCGUCUAGCGGCAAAAUAAGUAGAGAUCAGGAGGAAUACCGGUGGCGAAGGAGGCCCCCUCGACAAAGAACUGACGCUCCAUGCUGUCGAAAGAGUGGGGAGCAAACAACAUUAGAUACCCUCGUAGUCCACCCCCGUAAACAAUGUCGACAGGUAGGUUGUGCCCCUGAGGCGUGGCUUCCUGGACCUAACGGCGGUAAGUCAGACCGCCCUGGGGGAGUACGGUCCGCAGAGGUUAAAAAUCAAAGUGAAAUUGACGGGGGGCCCGCACAAGCGGUGGAGCAUUGUGAUUUAAUUCGAUUUGCAACAAGAAGAACCUUACCUACCUCUUGACACUGCCACAGAACCUUUCCAGAGAUGGAUCGGUGCCUUCGGGAAAUAUAAAACAGGUGCUGCAUGGCCGUGGUCAGCUUCAGUUGUGAAAUGGUGGGUUAAGUCCCGCAACGAGCGCAACCCCUAUCCUUUUUUGCCAGCGGUUCGGCCGGGAACUCAAAGGAGACUGCCAGUGAUAAACCGGAGGAAGGUGGGGAUGACGUCAAGUCAUCAUGGCCCUUACGAGUAGGGCUACACACGUCAUACAAUGGCGCAUACAAAGGGAAGCCACCUCGCGAGAGCAAGCGGACCUCAUAAAAUGCGUCGUAGUCCGGAUUGGAGUUUGCAACUCGACUCCAUGAAGUCGGAAUCGUUAGUAAUCGUAGAUCAGAAUCUACGGUGAAUACGUUCCCGGGCCUUGUACACACCGCCCGUCCCCCCAUGGGAGUGGGUUGCAAAAGAAGUAGGUAGCUUAACCUUAAGGAGGGCGCUUACCACUUUGUGAUCAUGACUGUGGGAAGUCGUAUCUAGUGUCUUUC